AUUGAACGCUGGCGGCAUGCCUUACACAUGCAAGUCGAACGGUAACAGGUCUUCGGUUGCUGACGAGUGGCGAACGGGUGAGUAAUACAUCGGAACGUGCCCAGACGUGGGGGAUAACGAGGCGAAAGCUUUGCUAAUACCGCAUACGAUCUAAGGAUGAAAGCAGGGGACCGCAAGGCCUUGCGCGGUUGGAGCGGCCGAUGGCAGAUUAGGUAGUUGGUGGGAUAAAAGCUUACCAAGCCGACGAUCUGUAGCUGGUCUGAGAGGACGACCAGCCACACUGGGACUGAGACACGGCCCAGACUCCUACGGGAGGCAGCAGUGGGGAAUUUUGGACAAUGGGCGAAAGCCUGAUCCAGCAAUGCCGCGUGCAGGAUGAAGGCCUUCGGGUUGUAAACUGCUUUUGUACGGAACGAAAAGGCUCUGGCUAAUACCUGGGGCACAUGACGGUACCGUAAGAAUAAGCACCGGCUAACUACGUG
rnacentral:rRNA from 1 species